rnacentral:rRNA from 1 species
AUUGAACGCUGGCGGCAGGCUUAACACAUGCAAGUCGAGCGGGGGAAGGUAGCUUGCUACUGGACCUAGCGGCGGACGGGUGAGUAAUGCUUAGGAAUCUGCCUAUUAGUGGGGGACAACAUCUCGAAAGGGAUGCUAAUACCGCAUACGUCCUACGGGAGAAAGCAGGGGAUCUUCGGACCUUGCGCUAAUAGAUGAGCCUAAGUCGGAUUCGCUAGUUGGUGGGGUAAAGGCCUACCAAGGCGACGAUCUGUAGCGGGUCUGAGAGGAUGAUCCGCCACACUGGGACUGAGACACGGCCCAGACUCCUACGGGAGGCAGCAGUGGGGAAUAUUGGACAAUGGGGGGAACCCUGAUCCAGCCAUGCCGCGUGUGUGAAGAAGGCCUUAUGGUUGUAAAGCACUUUAAGCGAGGAGGAGGCUACUCUGGUUAAUACCUAGGGAUAGUGGACGUUACUCGCAGAAUAAGCACCGGCUAACUCUGUGCCAGCCGCCGCGGUAACAC